rnacentral:rRNA from 1 species
UAGGGAAUCUUCGGCAAUGGACGAAAGUCUGACCGAGCAACGCCGCGUGAGUGAAGAAGGUUUUCGGAUCGUAAAACUCUGUUGUUAGAGAAGAACAAGGACGUUAGUAACUGAACGUCCCCUGACGGUAUCUAACCAGAAAGCCACGGCUAACUACGUGCCAGCAGCCGCGGUAAUACGUAGGUGGCAAGCGUUGUCCGGAUUUAUUGGGCGGAAAGCGAGCGCAGGCGGUUUCUUAAGUCUGAUGUGAAAGCCCCCGGCUCAACCGGGGAGGGUCAUUGGAAACUGGGAGACUUGAGUGCAGAAGAGGAGAGUGGAAUUCCAUGUGUAGCGGUGAAAUGCGUAGAUAUAUGGAGGAACACCAGUGGCGAAGGCGGCUCUCUGGUCUGUAACUGACGCUGAGGCUCGAAAGCGUGGGGAGCAAACAGG